GUAAAUACAGUGACAGGGAAGAGUACAAUGCCAGGCUCCUUUAGAGAGGGAAACCAUCAGCUGAAAGGUUUCUCAGGAUCGUCGGAUUGGAAGGUCGCCCUCGAGUAGUUUCAGCGAACGCAAUUUGUGAGUAGUUGAAACCGGUGGAGAGCCGUUAACAGAUUUGAGUGUACAGGGGAUAGUUUAUCUAUUUUCACCCUGUAAAAAAAGGUGGUACCGCGAAACUUAACUCCUUUCGUCCUUUUA
rnacentral:ncRNA from 1 species